CAUAAUCGGCUCGUUCUGACCUUUGGGAAGGGUUACAGGAGUAUCUGCGCUGGCGGUGCUUGGAAUGCGUCAAAACUUUCCAAAACAUUAGGAAAGGGAUGUGAGCCCGUCAUCCUCGUAUGGCUUGCUGAUGAACGCUGACGUUUAAUAAGAGAAUAAUGCAAAAGCAAGUAAUCAAUGUGGCCUCAAGCGGUGACAAACUGGACACAUCGGCAGGGCUUCCUGUGGUAUAAAACAAGACCUUAAAAUGCUGAGUCAGCAUCUUUGUAAAAACAUUUGCUGAUGCUUCAUAAACGAUUUACUGAAAGUAAAUGUUGUAAUAUACUUUUUUACUCGUCUCAUAAUAGUCUAUCGAAUUUUACUUAAUUAAAGUUUUUUACUACUUUAAUUACUUUAAUACUACUUUAAUACUACUUUAAUUAGAGUUUUUUUGAAUUUGCAAAUUUUUUGACUUUGAAAACUAUUGAUGACAUUAUCGUGAAUAAAACGUAAAUUUCUGCUUA